UGCUAGUCGUACGAGUUCAGACUCGUGGCGAAUAGCUCAGUAACACGUGGUCAAACUACCCUGUCGAGCGGGACACCCUCGGGAAACUGAGGCUAAUCCCGCAUACGGCUCGCUGCCUGGAGUGGCGCGAGCUCGAAACGCUCCGGCGCGACAGGAUGUGACUGCGGCCGAUUAGGUAGACGGUGGGGUAACGGCCCACCGUGCCGAUAAUCGGUACGGGUUGUGAGAGCAAGAGCCCGGAGACGGUAUCUGAGACAAGAUACCGGGCCCUACGGGGCGCAGCAGGCGCGAAACCUUUACACUGCACGCCAGUGCGAUAAGGGGACUCCCAGUGCGAGGGCAUAUCGUCCUCGCUUUUGUGUACCGUAGGGAGGUACACGAAUAAGGGCUGGGCAAGACCGGUGCCAGCCGCCGCGGUAAUACCGGCAGCCCGAGUGAUGACCGCUAUUAUUGGGCCUAAAGCGUCCGUAGCCGGCCACGCAAGUCCGUCGGGAAAUCCGCACGCCUAACGUGCGGGCGUCCGGCGGAAACUGCCUGGCUUGGGACCGGAAGACCAGAGGGGUACGUCCGGGGUAGGAGUGAAAUCCCGUAAUCCUGGACGGACCACCGGUGGCGAAAGCGCCUCUGGAAGACGGAUCCGACGGUGAGGGACGAAAGCUCGGGUCACGAACCGGAUUAGAUACCCGGGUAGUCCGAGCCGUAAACGAUGUCUGCUAGGUGUGCCACUGGCUACGAGCCAGUGGUGUGCCGUAAGGAAGCCGUGAAGCAGACCGCCUGGGAAGUACGUCCGCAAGGAUGAAACUUAAAGGAAUUGGCGGGGGAGCACUACAACCGGAGGAGCCUGCGGUUUAAUUGGACUCAACGCCGGACAUCUCACCAGCACCGACNGUAGCCGUGAAGAUCAGUGUGAUGAGCUUAUUGGAGCUACUGAGAGGAAGUGCAUGGCCGCCGUCAGCUCGUACCGUGAGGCGUCCUGUUAAGUCAGGCAACGAGCGAGACCCACACUCCUAAUUGCCAGCAUGACCCACGUGGUUGAUGGUACAUUAGGAGGACUGCCAGUGCCAACUGGAGGAAG
rnacentral:rRNA from 1 species